GGUUAUAUCAUUUAAAAAAAUUAAACAUGUUUUGUUACAUAAUUAUAUAUUAAUUGCUAUAUAUAAUAUAUAAUAGAUCGAUACAAAUAUUUUGUUACACAUAGAAAUCAUGACUUCUUCUGCUAAUAAAUUCUUCACCAUCUUUAUGUUCCUAUCUCUUGUCAUCAUUCUCCUUAUUUCCACAAGUGAGCCGCAUGGAAUGUUUAGACGUCGUUGUAGAGAGAGAAGUCAAACAUCGAAAAAAGGGCCUUGUAACGACUCAGAAUGUAAUUCAGGGUGCGUAAAGUUGGAGAAUGCAAGGUUUGGUGCUUGUCAAUUUCCUAGUUGUCCUGGACCUUUUGGUGUUUGUCAAAUCUUGUAUUGUUACUGCUACUUCAAUCGCAGCGAAUCUACGCACCCACAUUAUUUUAAACAUGUUUUACACUUCGAUAAGAACCUACAAAGAGGUUAAUAAAAUUGUUGUUGGUUUAGCUAAUCUUGAUUGUAAGGUAGUAAAUGAGAUUCAAGUGUAUACUAUUUUAUUAAGAAGGUUUAAGUAAAUGUAUGUUAUUUAUUA